CCAGAUUAAGGAACAAAUAGAACACCACCAGAACCUCUCAGAAUGUUACCUCCUGGUGUGGUUCUGCUCAUAGCUUACGGCUUGAUAGGUGUUAAAGGUCAGACGCUGACAGAGUCUGAACCAGUGGUUUUAAAGAUGGGAGAAUCUCACAAACUGACGUGUACAUAUUCUGGAAUAUCAGACGUUAAUGCUGGUAUUAGCUGGAUCAGACAGGCCACUGGAAAGGGACUAGAGUGGAUUGCUUACAUUUCUGCUCCAAGUGGCAGCAGAAAAUAUUACUCCCAGUCAGUCCAGGGUCGGUUCACCAUCUCCAGAGAUAAUGGCAAGGACCAGGUGUACCUCCAGAUGAACAGCCUGAAGACUGAAGACUCUGCUGUUUAUUAUUGUGCUCGAGAGCCACAGUGACACAGGAAGCUGCAGAGCUGUACAAAAACUGAUCAACACUGAUCUCACA